GGUAUCUCGGUAAAUAUCUGACCCGGUAAACGCUGGCCUAGCCUCCGCCUAAUCAUAUGAAAUAAACACUCUAUUUAAUAUAACUCUCAAAGGCUAGGCUUUGCUCUCUUAUGACACUAUCAGAAGGGUAAAAGACCAUUUUACCCCUCUCAUAACUCAAAGGCCCCACAAUAGACCAUACCCUAAAAGUCAACUCUCCGGGUUACGCUGCACAUACCGGAUGUGUACGCUGAGCGUACCCGGCUGCACCUUAGAAUCGGGGAGCGCCACCAAGUACGCGGCGUGUACUAGGGAUUACGCCCGACGUACUCCCCUGCUUCAGCCCUUUAGCUCUUGAGAUCUUAAACAGUUAAGACCUACGUCAAUAUAUUAGAUCUGACCCCAUCUAAGUCCAUUAAUCCAUAAAGUUGAUGACUUUAAGCCUUUGCAUGGCUGAAUAAGUCACCAACUCUCACAAUGAUCCAACCUUCAAGUCUAGAAGGCUAAAUACACAUGCAUGACUUCAAACUAACAUCCAAGAUGGAAACAUUAUGAAUCUAAAUCACCAAUAACACUGAAAGGGGACAGAUCUCGGACCAUGGAGCACUUUACACUCAUAAAGUCUCCACCUUUGGGGUUUUUAGCCCUAAAAAGGGCACAUACAAUAACAACCAAAAGAAGAGGAAAGUUUUGAACUUUAUACCUCCAAGUGUAGCCCUUUUCUCUGUAGAUCUCAGAUCCAAAAUGGCACCUCAAGCUUUAGCUUCCAAGAACUCCCUUCCUUCUUCUUCACCAAGUCACUAAAGCACCAAGAAGCUCAAAUCAACUCUCUCACACACUAAGGACGAUGGGGCUCUCUUUUAGGGUUUCACUCACUGAUAUGGAGGCUAAGGAAUGAGUCAUAACACCCUAUAAAUAUUGCACAAGGUGGAUUAGGGUUUUUGCACCUGGGUCGGGUACGCCCGGCGUAACUCUAGGUACGCCCAACGUACCUUGGCGACUCUGCGUCCAAAUUAAGCGAUUGAGUACGCGCAACGUACCCCUAUGGUACGCCCAGCGUACUCACUUGCUACAAUCCCACCACUCAAGGUCUAAACAUGCUCAAACAUUAAAGAACAAGGAUGAAUGAAAUAUACCUGAAUCUCGGGGUGUUACAAUUCUCCCCCACUAGAACCAAAUUUCGCCCUCGAAGUCUCAUUCCUCGAACAACUCUGGAUGCUGCCCUCGCAUCUUCGACUCUGACUCCCAAGUCAUCUCGGACCCCUUCCGAUGUUGCCACUGAACCAAAACCAAAGGUACUUCCUUGUUCCUCAAAACCUUGAUUUUCCGAUCUCUGAUUGCCACCGGUCUCUCAGCAUAAUUCAGGCUCGCAUCCACCUGAAUAUCCUCUAAUGGUACCACUGCCGACUCAUCGGCUAUACACUUCCGCAAUUGCGACACGUGGAAAGUGUCGUGAAUCUGACCCAACUCUGCUGGCAACUCNGUUAGGCCACCCUGCCUACCCUUGCAAUCACCCGAAAAGGACCGAUAUAACGGGGCCCCAACUUGCCCCUCUUCCUGAAUCGGAUCACUCCUUUCCAAGGAGAGACCUUUCCAAGGAGAGACCUAGAACUCGAGCUUGGACCGGCGCCUGUCCGCAUAACUCUUCUGACGACUUUGAGCGGUCAAUAACCUCUGCCUGACCUGCUGUAUCUGCUCAGUCGUUUGCAGCACAAUCUCUAUACUACCCAUAACACGCUGCCCGACCUCUCCCCAGCAAAUGGGGGUCCGACACCUCCUCCCAUACAACAGCUCAAAGGGAGGCAUACCAAUGCUCGAAUGAUGGCUCUUGUUGUAAGAAAACUCUGCCAAGGGAAAGUACGUGUCCCAACUCCCCCCGAAAUCCAACACACAUGCCCGGAGCAUAUCCUCGAGCGUCUAAAUCGUCCGCUCACUCUGUCCGUCAGUCUGGGGGUGAUAUGCGAUACUAAAAUGCAACCUAGUACCCAACUCCUCGUGAAAUUUCUUCCAGAAUCUGGAAGUGAAACGCACAUCUCGGUCCGAGACAAUCGAGAUCGGCACUCCAUGCCGCGAUACCACUUCUCUCACGUACAUCUCUGCCAACUUCUCUGGGGAAGAGUUCUCACUGAUAGCAAGGAAGUGAGCGCUCUUUGUCAACCUGUCCACAAUCGCCCAAAUUGCAUCGACUCCCCUAGUAGUCCUUGGCAAUUUGGUGAUAAAAUCCAUGGUAAUCUGUUCCCACUUCCAUUCGGGAACCUCUAAAGGCCGCAACUUACCAUGCGGUCGCUGGUGCUCGGCCUUAACCCUACGGCAGGUUAAGCACCUCUCAACAAACCACGUGACAUCCCUCUUCAUAUAGGGCCACCAAUACUCCUUCUUUAGAUCUAAAUACAUCUUAGUGGCCCCAGGAUGGAUCGAGAACUUCGACCGGUGAGCCUCUUCCAUCAAAAUGGUAUGCGUUCCUCCCACAAACAGUACCCCGAUACGCCCCUGAAAUGUUAUAAGCCCCCGACUAUCGGUAACGAACUCCGAUACCAACCCGACAACUCGCUCUCUCUUCUGGCUCUCAGGCCGCACAGCCUCAGCCUGUGCUUCACGAAUGGUGUCCAACACCGGAGCUAUCACGGUCAAUCUCAAACAUACAUCUCGCAAUGGGGUGCUCUCCGCCUUGCGGAUCAGUGCAUCGGCUACAACAUUAGCCUUGCCCGGGUGGUACAGGAUCUCACAAUCAUAAUCCUUGACCACGUCCAACCACCUCCUAUGUCGCAUAUUUAGGUUAGGCUGAUCCAUCAAAUACUUCAGGCUCUUAUGGUCCGUGUAUAUCGUACACCGAACCCCAUACAGAUAGUGACGCCAAAUCUUGAGGGCGAACACCAUUGCCCCCAACUCUAGAUCACGGGUGGGAUACCUUGUCUCAUGAGGCUUUAGCUGCCUCGAUGCAUAUGCUAUCACAUGCCCUCUCUGCAUCAGCACCGCUCCCAACCCCAAGAUCGACGCAUCACAAUACACCACAAAGUCCUCCAUUCCCUCUGGGAGGGCUAAGACUGGGGCUUCACAUAGCCUCUGGCGAAGCGUCUCAAAGGAGGUCUGCUGCUCUGGGCCCCAUGAAAAAGCGACACCCUUCUGAGUUAACCUGGUGAGUGGCACGGCGAUUUUGGAGAAAUCCAUGAUAAAUCUCCGAUAAUAGCCUGCCAACCCUAAGAAACUUCUGAUCUUGCAGGGUGACCUCGGCACCUCCCAUCUCAUCACUGCCUCUACUCUGGCCGGGUCGACCAAAAUCCCCUCCUGGUUAACGAGGCGCCCUAGGAACUGGACCUCUCGCAACCAGCAAUCACACUCGGAGAAUUUGGCGUAAAGCCUCUCCGAUCUCAGUACCCCGAGGAUCUCCCUGAAAUGCUCCUCAUGCUGCUCUCUGGAUCUCGAAUAUAGCAAAAUAUCGUCAAUGAACAUGAUCAUCGACCGAUCCAACAUCGGCCUGCACACUCUGUUCAUGAGGUCCAUGAACACUGCCGGGGCAUUGGUGAGUCCGAAAGGCAUCACCACAAACUCGUAAUGCCCAUAACGAGUCCUGAACGCUGUCUUCUGGAUGUCCUCAUCUCAUACCCUUACCUGAUGAUACCCAGACCUCAAAUCGAUCUUGGAGAACCAAGAUGCUCCCUGCAACUGAUCGAACAAAUCAUCGAUCCUCGGCAACGGGUAACGGUUCUUGACUGUUAGCUUUUUCAACUCCCGGUAAUCAAUGCACAUCUGGUGUGAACCAUCCUUCUUCUUGACAAAAAGGAUAGGCGCUCCCCACGGCGAGCUGCUCCGCCAAAUAAACCCCUUUCCCAGCAGCUCCUGAAGCUGCGGGGAUAACUCUUGCAUCUCUGGAGGUGCAAGGCGAUAGGGCACCUUGGCGAUAGGCGCGGCCCCCGGAAUCAAAUCGAUACUGAACUCCACUUGCCUCACAGGAGGCACACCCGACAACUCCUCUGGAAAUACAUCCGGGAACUCACGCACUAUCGGGACCUCCUCAACUGACCUCGAUCUCUCGGAAUCAACCCGCGUAUCCAGCACAUAUGCCAGGAAACCCUUACAUCCUUGCUGAAGACACUGCCUCACUCUAGCGUCCGAACAAAAUGCUGACCCAGAACAUGUACCCUCGCCGUACACUAUAAGAACUCCCCCACUAGGGUCUCGUAUGGUCACCAGCUGUCGCUCGCAGUCGAUAACUGCUCCGAAUCUGUUCAACCAGUCCAUGCCCAUAAUGACGCAGACAUCACCCAUCGCAAUAGGAAUCAAAUCAAUCGGAAACUCAACAUAGAAAAUCUCGAACACGCACCCUCGGAUCACCUCUGUGACAUAUAUCACCCUCUCGUUAGCUAUGGAAACCCUCAGAGGUCGACUCAAUGCUUCACGACUAACACUGAUAUGCUGACUAAAAGCCAAAGAUACAAAAGACCGACUCGCACCCGAGUCAAAUAACACCAAGGCAGGUACAGAAUCCACAAGAAAAGUACCUACGCAUAACAUAAUAUAAGCACAAAAUCUCAACAUCAAAAUAAAUAUAUGAAAGAAACAUACCAGCCACGACAUCGGGCGCUGCUCGGACCUCCCCCGCGGUCAGCUGAAAGGCUCUCCCUCGUGGCCUCGGCACCUCGGCCUUCACUGGCCGACUCUCGGUAGCUCUGAUGGCGGCAGGGGCAGAUCCCUGAGGUGCUCCCUAUGCCGAUCCCCGCAACUGCGGACACUCUGUCUUCCGGUGUCCGGUCUGGUUGCAGUGAAAACAAACUGCAAACCCCUUGGGGCAGUCCUUGGCCGUAUGCCCCUCCUUGCCACAUUUGUAGCAAGACCCUGCUCUGCACACCCCGUCAUGGCUUUUGCCGCACUUGCCACAAGUGCGGCCCCUUUGGCUCCCUGAUCUCGAAUCGGCGGGCUUGGCCCACUUGGCUACCGACUGAGACUGCACCGGUCGCCGAUCCCUCCCCUGAGACUCAACCACCUCCCUAGCCUGAGUCUCCAGCUCUAUCUCCUUCUUCCGGGAAUUCACCUGAAGCUCGGAAAAUGUUCGGUACGUCGAGUUUGCCACAAACUCACGUAUAUCCCUCCUUAGAAUGCUCAAAUAUCGACCCAUACGUGCCUACUCGGAGGACACGUGCUCUGGGCAGAACAUCGCUCGCUCAUGAAACAUCCUCGUAAUCACCGUAACAGACUCAGUACCCUGCUUGAGAGUCAGAAACUCCUGUGCCAAGCUCUCCCUCUCCACCCGGGGAACGUACUCAUCUUGGAACAUAGCAGUGAACCUCUCCCAGGUCACUGCUGCAAACUCAGCAGGCGUAUAGUGCGCCGUUACAAACUUCCACCAGUCCUUCGCUCCCAAGCGAAGCUGGUUCAGCGCGAACCAGACUCUCAAAUGCUCAGGAGACGAGCAAGUAAAGAAACACCCCUCUAUGUCUGAAAUCCAUCUCAUCGCUGCAAUCGGGUCCUGGAUCCCGUCAAACUCCGGUGGUUUUGUGUUGCUGAACUCUCGGAACAGCAACGCAUCACCACACUGCGGCCUCAUCGUAGCUAUAGCUGCAGUGGCCGCAGCAACAGCAGCCUCGGAAAGAUCAGCGUACUUCUCAUCAAAUGUCUCUAUCAGCGUGGUCUUGAUAGACCCGAACAUCUCUGGUAUCUCUGCCCUGAUGGACGCAGCAACCUCCUCCUGGAUGAUCCUAUGGAUCUCCUCAUCCCUCGUAUCACUGGUCCCUGGUGUGUGGCGAGUCCCAACCAUGAUCUCUCUCUCUCUCUAAAAUACAACAUAAGAAUAAUAUCAGGGACUCGCUCGAGUAUACUCACACUCGAAUACUCCAUCCUACUUGUUCCUUGGUACUCCAAGGAUUCUUACUUGGACUGUGCACUGACCCGGUGUCUUCAGUAGUACGGGCCCAAUACUACCGUCCACACCGCAUCAGCAUCCACCCCAAGUCCUCCUCCCAGAGUCCCAAGUCCCAAGCACUCUACUCUCUCUAAUCAUAUGAUACUCGCAACAGAUCUCUCAAAAUCUCCUCGCUGCUACCUAACCACUCUGAAAUAUUCAUAGCAGCAAGACUCCUAGACUCAGGCAUCACAUAUCAGGCCACUCUAGUCCUAAUAAGAAUACCUAGUCUACUCUAGCAUGCAUAUCAUAGCUCAUCGUAUAACAUAUCACAUCAUAUCUCAUAACACUUAUAAUAAUGGUAUUUUGGGAAACCACCGUUUAGGCGCUGGCUGCUCGUACACACGACUCUGAUCUUGUUUGUCUCACAAGUUGUUCUUUUGAAAACUUGUUUUAUUAUCAAAAUUUUCUCAAAUCCUCGGUUUGAGUUCAGAUACGCCCGAAGGUGCACUCGAAUCCCUCAAACCUAGGCUCUGAUACCAACUUGUAACACCGUAAAAAUUAAAACAAUUUUUCACAUUUGAAAAACACAUUUUAAUUAAAACCAUUCAUUCAUAAAAUGUCAUAACAUCAUGUUUUUAUUUCACAAAUGUCUCCCAAGAUCAAAAUACAUCCAAUCCCAUAUGUGUGUACGAAUCAAGUCGGCGCCUUCCCGCGGUCAUCACUGGUACCUGAAACACAUAACACUGAACACUGUAAGCAUAAGCUUAGUGAGUUCCCCAAAAUACCACACUAAUCACAUAAUAGCCACUCGAGGCUGUAACUCUGUUGACCCUCUGGUCAAUGUGUCUCAGUGGGGCCCUCCAGCCCCAACUCUCUGUGGGCCCUCUGGCCCUAACUCUAGGGACCCGAAAGUCCCAACUCUGUAACUCUGAAUCAUGCAUAUCACAUAUCACAAUAAAUCACAACACAUAAUAACAUGCAAUCACACUGGCAUAUAACUCUAUAAUACUCUGUCUCUUAACUCUGUUACCACACUAGGUAAAGUAUAGUGAGAAGACUCACCUCGGGUAUCUCGGUAAAUCUCUGACUCGGUAAACGCUGGCCUAGCCUCCGCCUAAUCAUAUGAAAAUAACACUCUAUUUAAUAUAACUCUCAAAGGCUAGGAUUUGCUCUCUUAUGACACUCUUAGAAGGGUAAAAGACCAUUUUACCCCUCUCCUAACUUAAAGGCCCCACAAUAGACCAUACCCUAAAAGUCAACCAAAAGUCAACUCUCCGGGUUACAUUGUGCGUACCAGAUGUGUACGCUGAGCGUACCCGGCUGCACCUCAGAAUCGGGGAGCGCCACCCAGUACGCGGCGCGUACUAGGGAUUACGCCCGGCAUGCUCCCCUGCUUCAGCCCUUUAGCCCUUGAGGUCUUAAACAAUUAAGACCUACGUCCAUAUUUUAUAUUUGACCCCAUCUAAGCCCCUUAGUCCAUAAAGUUGAUGACUUUAAGCCUUUGCAUGGCUGAACAAGUCACCAACUCUCACAAUGAUCCAACCUUCAACUCUAGAAGGCUAAAUACACAUUCAUGACUUCAAACUAACAUCCAAGAAGGAAACUUUAUGACUCUAAAUCACCAAUAACACUGAAAGGGGACAGAUCUCGGACCAUGGAGCACUUUACACUCAUAAAGUCUCCACCUUUGGGGUUUUUAGCCCUAAAAAGGGCACAUACAACAACAACCAAAAGAAGAGGAAAGUUUUCAACUUUAUACCUCCAAGUGUAGCCCUUUUCUCUGUAGAACUCAGAUCCAAAAUGGCACCACAAGCUUUAGCUUCCAAGAACUCCCUUCCUUCUUCAUCACCAAGUCAC
rnacentral:lncRNA from 1 species